UGCCCAGAUCUAAGGAAUAGCCACUGGAAACGGUGAGUAAUACCUUAUACGCCCUUCGGGGAAAGAUUUAUCGGAUUUGGAUCGGCCCGCGUUAGAUUAGAUAGUUGGUGGGGUAACGGCCCACCAAGUCUACGAUCUAUAGCUGGUUUUAGAGGAUGAUCAGCAACACUGGGACUGAGACACGGCCCAGACUCCUACGGGAGGCAGCAGUGGGGAAUCUUGGACAAUGGGCGCAAGUGAUCCAGCCAUGCCGCGUGAGUGAUGAAGGCCUUAGGGUCGUAAAGCUCUUUCGCCUGUGAAGAUAAUGACGGUAGCAGGUAAAGAAACCCCGGCUAACUCCGUGCCAGCAGCCGCGGUAAUACGGAGGGGGUUAGCGUUGUUCGGAAUUACUGGGCGUAAAGCGCACGUAGGCGGAUUGGAAAGCUAGAGGUGAAAUCCCGGGGCUCAACCCCGAACUGCCUUUAGAACUAUCAGUCUAGAGUUCGAGAGAGGUGAGUGGAAUUCCGAGUGUAGAGGUGAAAUUCGUAGAUAUUCGGAGGAACACCAGUGGCGAAGGGGCUCACUGGCUCGAUACUGACGCUGAGGUGCGAAAGUGUGGGGAGCAAACAGGAUUAGAUACCCUGGUAGUCCACACCGUAAACGAUGAAUGCCAGUCGUCGGGUAGCAUGCUAUUCGGUGACACACCUAACGGAUUAAGCAUUCCGCCUGGGGAGUACGGUCGCAAGAUUAAAACUCAAAGAAAUUGACGGGGGG
rnacentral:rRNA from 1 species